CUGGGAUACAACGCAUGUACAAGAAAAUUCUAUUUUCCAGGUCAAAUCGCAAGAUGAAGUUACUCUGCUUGGCGCUCAUUCUUGUUUGGGCUAGAAAAGUCACCCCUCUGCACUGUAGAUGCUCUGGAGCGUAUUGUGACGAUGUCACCCUAGACAAUUGCUACACGAUACAUUCAUGUUUUAAUCAUACCAUUGGAGGAAACGUUACAUAUGGCUGCACCGAAAAAAUUGGUUGGCAAAAGCUUUUUUGUAACAUGCCUCCUGGGAUUUUUACUUUAAAAUGUUGCACAUCUGAAUUCUGUAACAGUAAUGGUUUACCUUCUAAGCCUUAUUUACCAGUUCCAUCAUUGAAAAUAGCUAGCUUGGUCAAGGGCAAAGUUACAGGUUAUAUAAACGAUACUUCUGCCAACAGAGCUAA